AGAGUUUGAUCCUGGCUCAGAACGAACGCUGGCGGCAUGCCUAACACAUGCAAGUCGAACGGGAUCCGAGCUUCGGUUCGGUGAGAGUGGCGGACGGGUGAGUAACGCGUGGGAACCUGCCCAGUGGUGGGGGAUAACUGCGGGAAACUGCAGCUAAUACCGCAUGAGCCCGAGAGGGGAAAGAUUUAUCGCCAUUGGAGGGGCCCGCGUUCGAUUAGGUAGUUGGUGAGGUAACGGCUCACCAAGCCGACGAUCGAUAGCUGGUCUGAGAGGAUGAUCAGCCACACUGGGACUGAGAUACGGCCCAGACUCCUACGGGAGGCAGCAGUGGGGAAUAUUGGACAAUGGGGGCAACCCUGAUCCAGCAAUGCCGCGUGAGUGAUGAAGGCCUUCGGGUUGUAAAGCUCUUUUGCCAGGGACGAUGAUGACGGUACCUGGAGAAUAAGCCCCGGCUAACUUCGUG
rnacentral:rRNA from 1 species